GGCGCAAGGGUGCGUAACACGUGGGCAACCUGCCCGGAAGUGGGGGAUAGCUCGCCGAAAGGCGAAUUAAUACCGCAUGUGGCUAGAGGUGACAUCACUUCGAGGCCAAAGUUGGGGCAACCUGACGCUUCUGGAUGGGCCCGCGGCCUAUUAGCUAGUUGGUGAGGUAACGGCUCACCAAGGCUAUGACGGGUAGCUGGUCUGAGAGGACGACCAGCCACACUGGAACUGAGACACGGUCCAGACACCUACGGGUGGCAGCAGUCGAGAAUUUUUCUCAAUGGGGGAAACCCUGAAGGAGCGACGCCGCGUGGAGGAUGAAGGUCUUCGGAUUGUAAACUCCUGUCAUUGGUGAACAAAGCCCUCGGAGUAACUGCCGUUGGGUUUGAUAGUAGCCGAAGAGGAAGGGACGGCUAACUCUGUGCCAGCAGCCGCGGUAAUACAGAGGUCCCAAGCGUUGUUCGGAUUCAUUGGGCGUAAAGGGUGCGUAGGCGGUGAGGUAAGUCUGGUGUGAAAUCCCGGGGCUCAACCCCGGAACUGCACUGGAUACUGCUUUACUAGAGUACUGGAGAGGGAACUGGAAUUUACGGUGUAGCAGUGAAAUGCGUAGAUAUCGUAAGGAAGACCAGUGGCGAAGGCGAGUUCUUGGACAGUUACUGACGCUGAGGCACGAAGGCCAGGGGAGCAAACGGGAUUAGAUACCCCGGUAGUCC
rnacentral:rRNA from 1 species